rnacentral:rRNA from 1 species
UACGUAGGGUGCGAGCGUUGUCCGGAAUUAUUGGGCGUAAAGAGCUUGUAGGCGGUCUGUCGCGUCUGCUGUGAAAAUCCGGGGCUCAACCCCGGACUUGCAGUGGGGUACGGGCAGACUAGAGGGUAUGCAGGGGAGAACGGAAUUCCUGGUGUAGCGGUGAAAUGCGCAGAUAUCAGGAGGAACACCGGUGGCGAAGGCGGUUCUCUGGGCAUGAUCUGACGCUGAGGAGCGAAAGUGUGGGGAGCGAACAGG